CUGCGGCCACUCCGCCUCUUUCCUCCUGCCGUCCCUUCCUUCUUUCUCUUCUUCCUUCUUCCCCUUCUCGCCGCCGCCGCCCAGGACCGCCGGUCGGGGGACGAGCUCCGCGCAGCAGCCAGGAAUUUUCUUAACCACAUAACCCCUCAGACCUGAACCACAACAUUGUUCCUGGAGCACCUCUGUUUAAGGUAGAACUUUAGACUUCAUAGCACUGAAUUAACCAGCACUGAAAGCUGUUAACCUGCAGUUGUUCACUUUUGUUGAAAGUGACCAUGUCUCAAGUUCAAGUGCAAGUUCAGAACCCAUCUGCUGCUCUCUCAGGGAGCCAAAUACUGAACAAGAACCAGUCUCUUCUCUCACAGCCUUUGAUGAGUAUUCCUUCUACUACUAGCUCUCUGCCCUCUGAAAAUGCAGGUAGACCUAUUCAAAACUCUGCUUUACCCUCUGCAUCUAUUACAUCCACCAGUGCAGCUGCAGUUCCUUCUAGCAUGGCACACCCCAAAGAGAAAACCCCAAUGUGUCUUGUGAAUGAGUUAGCCCGUUUCAACAAGAUUCAGCCUGAGUAUAAGCUUUUGCGUGAGCAAGGUCCAGCUCACUGUAAGGUGUUUACAGUACAGCUAACACUUGGAGAUCAGCACUGGGAAGCUGAAGGAACUAGUAUUAAAAAAGCCCAACAUACAGCUGCUGCCAAAGCUUUGGAAGGAACAAAAUUUCCUAAACCCAUAGUCCGCCCUUUUCGUAGCGAAGGAAGGAAUCCAGGUAUUAUGCGUGGGCCAAGACAGGUUCCUUUCAAAAGUAUGUCUAGAGACAGCAUAACCCCUACUGUAGAGCUAAAUGCACUGUGCAUGAAACUUGGGACAAAACCAAUGUAUAAGCCUGUUGACCCUUACUCUCGGAUGCAGUCCACCUAUAACUACAACAUGAGAGGAGGUGCUUAUCCCCCAAGGUACUUUUACCCAUUUCCAGUACCACCCUUACUUUAUCAAGUUGAACUUUCUGUGGGAGGACAGCAAUUUAAUGGGAAAGGAAAGACAAGACAGGCUGCAAAACAUGAUGCUGCUGCGAAAGCUUUGAGGAUUCUGCAGAAUGAGCCCCAACCUGAGAGGCUGGAGAUGAACGGAAGAGAAUCAGAAGAAGAAAAUCUCAAUAAAUCUGAAAUAAGUCAAGUGUUUGAGAUUGCACUUAAACGGAACUUGCCUGUGAAUUUUGAGUCUUUCCCUCUAAAACAGGUCGCCCGGGAGAGUGGCCCACCCCACAUGAAGAGCUUUGUGACCAGGGUGUCUGUUGGGGAGUUUGUGGGGGAAGGUGAAGGGAAGAGCAAGAAGAUUUCAAAGAAAAAUGCUGCUAUAGCUGUUCUUGAGGAGCUGAGGAAGUUACCACCCCUGCCUACAGUUGAGCGGGUGAAGCCCCGAAUCAAAAAGAAAACAAAACCCAUAGUCAGGGUACAGAGUGGCCCAGAGCAUGGCCAGGUGAUCAACCCAGUUAGCAGACUGGCCCAGAUCCAGCAGGCAAAAAAGGACAAGGAGCCGGAGUACAUGCUUCUCACAGAGCGAGGUGCCCCGCGCCGCAGGGAGUUUGUGAUGCAGGUGAAGGUGGGAAACCAUACCGCAGAGGGAACGGGCACCAACAAGAAGGUGGCCAAACGCAAUGCAGCCGAGAAUAUGCUGGAGAUUCUUGGUUUCAAAGUCCCGCAGGCUCAGCCCACCAAACCAGCCCUCAAAUCAGAGGAGAAGACACCUAUAAAGAAACCAGGGGAUGGAAGAAAAGUAACCUUUUUUGAACCUGGCUCUGGGGAUGAAAAUGGGACUAGCAAUAAAGAGGACGAGUUUAGGAUGCCUUAUCUUAGUCAUCAGCAGCUGCCUGCUGGGAUUCUUCCCAUGGUGCCUGAGGUUGCCCAGGCUGUAGGAGUCAGUCAAGGUCAUCACACCAAAGAUUCUACCCGGGCAGCUCCGAAUCCUGCCAAGGCCACAGUAACUGCCAUGAUAGCCCGUGAAUUGUUGUAUGGGGGCACCUCACCCACAGCCGAGACCAUUUUAAAGAAUAACAUCUCUUCAGGCCACGUACCCCAUGGACCUCUCACGAGACCCUCUGAGCAAUUGGACUAUCUUUCCAGAGUCCAGGGAUUCCAGGUUGAAUACAAAGACUUCCCCAAAAACAACAAGAACGAAUUUGUCUCUCUUAUCAAUUGCUCCUCUCAGCCACCUCUGAUCAGCCACGGUAUUGGAAAGGAUUUGGAAUCCUGCCAUGAUAUGGCCGCACUGAACAUUUUAAAGUUGCUGUCUGAGUUGGACCAACAAAAUACAGAGAUGCCAAGAACAGGAAAUGGACCAAUGUCAGUGUGUGGAAGGUGCUGAACCCCUUCUGGCCAUGAACCAUUAUAAAAUUCCCAACGUAUACUGAAAAUACUGAAACUGCUUUGAAAAUUUGGGAUUUCUGAUACCUCCAGUGGGCCGAGAGACAUGAUGGGUAAAGAACUGGAGACAGCAGUGGUGACAGGCGGGAACGCAAGGAGACGGCCGUGGCUGCUCUUACAUGUGCUGUGGGGAGGUGGGGCCUGCCAAGCAGCCCUGGUUCAGUUGGGAAACCAGCAGGUCUGUGGCCCGGGCACCUCAGUGCUUGGUUUGGGAUUUGUGUUUGUAUUUUUUGCUGUGUAAAAGAAGAAAGCAAAAAGCAUGACCCCUUCUCAGACUGGCUCACUCAAACACUUUGGGACAUAUCCUGGACACCCACGCCGGAGAGAGGCCUUAGACCACCGGCCCAGAGCUGAAAGCACCAGAGAAAAAUCAGAUGCUUCCUACUCAGCGCAAGCUAACCUUUCUAGCGUGCUAUGGCCCACUUCCCACGGUCCCCACACCAUCACCACUGCUUUCUCUUCCAAAAGAAAUACACAUUCUUACUUUCAUUAUUUUCUUUUGAUUGAAAUGACACUAUAUAAAUUUUCCUUUUGAGUUUCUCAAUUGUAUCUAGUUACAUAGCACAGUUUAGAAACUUUCCUGAGACUAACUUUAUCAGUAAUCUAACCGGCAAAGAUAAAUCCAUGUGUAUAUGGUUAUAAUUUGUAUUUUAUUGGACUAACCCAGGACCAUUUCAGUGAUGUAAAUUGUGUGCCCUCUGGUUUAGCUGAAACAGUCCUGGACUUCUCAGAAAUCUUUAUGAAGUUUCCUACAGUUGUAUAAAUUGGACAGUUUAGGAAUUUUAAACUUUCAAUGAUCAUUUGGCUCCUUUGCUAUUUCAUUUUUGUUAAUGCAACAGGACUUAAAUGAACUUUGAUCUUUGUCUUAAAGGUUAUUACAAUUGUGUGUAUAUACAUAUGGCUCUUGAGGACACAUAGCUUUCACAACACUACAGGAUAUGAUCUCCAUGUAGUACAUAUAAAACUGCAGAUUGAUUUUCCCGAGUGCUUUAUACUGUUGAUUACAUCUCCAUGUCGGGCUGAAAAGAAUGACCUGUUUAUCUCUAAAACUGUAUUGCUUUUGAUGUGUUACUGUGCACAGAAGUAUGUGCGGUAAGGUCCUUCCUGCACAUGGUCCAGAUGGAAAGCACCAUAGCCUUGCGAGUUAAGUACUGCUUCGAUCCAUUGUUUACGCUGGAAAUUUUUCUCCCCAUGGAAUACCCACUUGGAGACAGGUCAGGAUGUCUUCUCAGCUGAUGUUUGCUGCAGAAACCCAGGUUCCUGGGAACAGCAAUAAUUUUUCUCUCCAGAUGCAGAAAGGUUGACUCUAGCUGCAAGAUGAACAGUUUCCUGGUGCAAGCUGUGCUCAGAAGUCUCCCAGCUUUCUUCAGACCAUCCUGGGCUUCAUUAGUCAAAUCAUAGUUCAAAGCAGUGUCACACUGGCCGCCUGAAGGUACCCUUGGAGAU